rnacentral:rRNA from 1 species
GGUUGCCUACGGGGCGCAGCAGUGGGGAAUAUUGCACAAUGGGGGAAACCCUGGUGCAGCAACGCCGCGUGAGUGGGGAAGUAUUUCGGUAUGUAAAGCUCUAUCAGCAGGGAAUAGAAAAGAAGGUACCUGAAAAAGAAGCCCCGGCUAACUACGUGCCAGCAGCCGCGGUAAUACGUAGGUGGCAAGCGUUGUCCGGAUUUACUGGGUGUAAAGGGGGCGCAGACGGCGAUGCAAGCCAGGAGUGAAAGCCCGGGGCCCAACCCCGGGACUGCUCUUGGAACUGCGUGGCUGGAGUGCAGGAG